UCUAGAGGCACUGAGUCUAAUACAUGAAGAGUGUAAGUCAUUAGAAAAUCUUAUUUUGUGUGCCACACAAAAAAAGAGAAGUCAUACAGGUUUGGAACAACAUGAUGGUUAGAGACAGAUUGCUUGCGGUUUGUGUGAGCUCUAUUGGCUCUGGCAGGUGAAGCACAGAGCCCGGAGGGGAGCCACUUUAUGGGUGAUGAGCAAAGGACACAGAGGUCAAAAUCGUGGAGGAGAAACAUACCAGGGUCACUGCCGAAUCACAGUCACCACGAUGAAACAGAGACAAGAGCUUUCUUAUUCCAGCACAGCAGACCGGCUUCAGCUCUUAAGUACUCAGCUGCUGUACGAAUACUGCAAAAUAUAACAAUAUAUAAACUUAAAUCAUAUAUAUGGCAUACAUAAAUAAAUAAUACACACACAAAGAUAUUUUAAACAGUAUGUUAAUUGCAUUAUUUACUGUAAAUAUAAACACUUUGCUAUAUGCCAG
ensembl:lncRNA